GUGUCAGCCGCCGCGGUAAUACGUAAGGACCGAGCGUUGUCCGGAAUCAUUGGGCGUAAAGGGUACGUAGGCGGUUAGAAAAGUUAGAGGUGAAAGGCUAUAGCUCAACUAUAGUAAGCUUUUAAAACUGUUUAACUUGAGAGAUGGAAGGGAAAGUGGAAUUCCUAGUGUAGCGGUGAAAUGCGCAGAUAUUAGGAGGAAUACCGGUGGCGAAGGCGACUUUCUGGCCAUUAUCUGACGCUGAGGUACGAAAGCGUGGGUAGCAAACAGGAUUAGAUACCCGAGUAGUCC
rnacentral:rRNA from 1 species